CAAUCAGAUUGCUUCAUUUUCACUGAUAAAAAAUAAAAGAGUGUUAUUUAAUUUGGUACAAUUAUAUAAUACCUGGCCAUAUAAAGAUGUGUGAUUCAAUGGCUACGUGGCUACGUGGCUACGUGGCUACAUCUUGAAAUCAAAAGCACCAUUUGGAAGAAAACGCAGUUUGACAUCCAGCAAAAAUAGGUUUUCGAAAUGUAAGGUUAGGUUUUAGGAUUUUGUUUAGGGGUAGGGUCAGCUUUAGGGUUAGGGUUGGGGUUAGGGUUAAGGUUAGGGUUAGGGGUUAGGUUAGGGUUAAGGUUAGGGUUAAGGUUAG